UACAGAGGGUGCAAGCGUUGUUCGGAAUUAUUGGGCGUAAAGGGCGCGUAGGCGGUGCGGUAAGUCACCUGUGAAAUCUCCGGGCUUAACUCGGAGCCUGCAGGCGAAACUACCGUGCUGGAGUGUGGGAGAGGUGCGUGGAAUUCCCGGUGUAGCGGUGAAAUGCGUAGAUAUCGGUAGGAACACCAGUGGCGAAGGCGGUCUCCUGGGGCACUCUUGACGCUGAGGCGCGAAAGCUGGGGGAGCGAACGGG
rnacentral:rRNA from 1 species